rnacentral:rRNA from 1 species
UCAGGAUGAACGCUAGCGACAGGCCUAACACAUGCAAGUCAGGGGCAGCACAAGGAGCAAUCUGAGGUGGCGACCGGCGCACGGGUGAGUAACACGUAUGCAACCUGCCUGUAAGCGGGGAAUAACCCGUUGAAAGACGGACUAAUACCGCAUAAUACUAAAUUACUGCAUGGUAAUUUAUUUAAACAUUUAUGGCUUACAGAUGGGCAUGCGCAUGAUUAGCUAGUUGGAGAGGUAACGGCUCCCCAAGGCAACGAUCAUUAGGGGUUCUGAGAGGAAGGUCCCCCCACACUGGUACUGAGACACGGACCAGACUCCUACGGGAGGCAGCAGUGAGGAAUAUUGGUCAAUGGACGAGAGUCUGAACCAGCCAAGUCGCGUGCAGGAAGAAUUGUCCUAUGGAUUUGUAAACUGCUUUUGCAGGGGAAUAAAGUGCAUCACGUGUGAUGUUUUGUAUGUACUCUGCGAAUAAGGAUCGGCUAACUCCGUGCCAGCCGCCGC